rnacentral:lncRNA from 1 species
UUUUAAAAUUUAGGUUUAGUUUAUGAAAUAUUGGGGUUAACAUUGGUUAAGGUUUAGAUUUUGAUAUUUGAGUUUAGUGUUCAUAUUUGGGUUAAGUUUAGUGAUUAGAGUUUAGGGUUUAUGAUUUAGGGGUUGAGGUGUGAUUAGGAUUGGGUUAGUAUUUAGGGGUUUAGGAUUUAUAUUUGGGUAAGGGUUGAGUGAUUAGAGUUUAAGAUUUAGUAUUUAGAAGGUGAAGGAGUAUGGUUGAGGUCAGUGAUAACUUCUUCCAUGCAAUUAUAGAUAUUUUAUAAUUUCACAAAUAUGUACUAUGUUAUUUUUUUGUUCAAUUCUAUUUGGAUUUUGUGCUUAUAUUUAGAGUUAUGGUUUAUAUUUGGGUUUAUGGUUUAGAUUUGGGUUUAGGGUUUACUGAACAGAGUUUAGAGUUCAGUACAGAGGUUGGGUGAGAUUGGAAUAAGUUUUAAUAUCUAAGGAUUGGAUUUGAGAUAUGUUUAUAUUUAAGGGUUGUAGAUAAAGUUAUAAUUUUAUACUAUUUUAUAUAGAAUAGAACUCGGUGGAUAUG